rnacentral:rRNA from 1 species
AUUGAACGCUGGCGGCAGGCCUAACACACGCAAGUCGAACGGUAACAGGAAGCAGCUUGCUGCUUUGCUGACGAGUGGCGGACGGGUGAGUAAUGUCUGGGAAACUGCCUGAUGGAGGGGGAUAACUACUGGAAACGGUAGCUAAUACCGCAUAACGUCGCAAGACCAAAGAGGGGGACCUUCGGGCCUCUUGCCAUCGGAUGUGCCCAGAUGGGAUUAGCUAGUAGGUGGGGUAAAGGCUCACCUAGGCGACGAUCCCUAGCUGGUCUGAGAGGAUGACCAGCCACACUGGAACUGAGACACGGUCCAGACUCCUACGGGAGGCAGCAGUGGGGAAUAUUGCACAAUGGGCGCAAGCCUGAUGCAGCCAUGCCGCGUGUAUGAAGAAGGCCUUCGGGUUGUAAAGUACUUUCAGCGGGGAGGAAGGGAGUAAAGUUAAUACCUUUGCUCAUUGACGUUACCCGCAGAAGAAGCACCGGCUAACUCCGUG